UACGUAGGGCGCAAGCGUUAUCCGGAAUUAUUGGGCGUAAAGAGCUCGUAGGCGGUUUGUCGCGUCUGCCGUGAAAGUCCGGGGCUCAACUCCGGAUCUGCGGUGGGUACGGGCAGACUAGAGUGAUGUAGGGGAGACUGGAAUCCCUGGUGUAGCGGUGAAAUGCGCAGAUAUCAGGAGGAACACCGAUGGCGAAGGCAGGUCUCUGGGCAUUAACUGACGCUGAGGAGCGAAAGCAUGGGGAGCGAACAGG
rnacentral:rRNA from 1 species